GCUCUUGUAGCUCAGUUGGUUAGAGCACCCGUUUAGUAAGCGGGAGGUCUUGAGUUCAACUUUGAACAAGAGCA
rnacentral:tRNA from 1 species